rnacentral:rRNA from 1 species
GUCUUAACUGGGCGUUAAGUUGCAGGGUAUAGACCCGAAACCCGGUGAUCUAGCCAUGGGCAGGUUGAAGGUUGGGUAACACUAACUGGAGGACCGAACCGACUAAUGUUGAAAAAUUAGCGGAUGACUUGUGGCUGGGGGUGAAAGGCCAAUCAAACCGGGAGAUAGCUGGUUCUCCCCGAAAGCUAUUUAGGUAGCGCCUCGUGAAUUCAUCUCCGGGGGUAGAGCACUGUUUCGGCAAGGGGGUCAUCCCGACUUACCAACCCGAUGCAAACUGCGAAUACCGGAGAAUGUUAUCACGGGAGACACACGGCGGGUGCUAACGUCCGUCGUGAAGAGGGAAACAACCCAGACCGCCAGCUAAGGUCCCAAAGUCAUGGUUAAGUGGGAAACGAUGUGGGAAGGCCCAGACAGCCAGGAUGUUGGCUUAGAAGCAGCCAUCAUUUAAAGAAAGCGUAAUAGCUCACUGGUCGAGUCGGCCUGCGCGGAAGAUGUAACGGGGCUAAACCAUGCACCGAAGCUGCGGCAGCGACGCUGAUGCGUUGUUGGGUAGGGGAGCGUUCUGUAAGCCUGCGAAGGUGUGCUGUGAGGCAUGCUGGAGGUAUCAGAAGUGCGAAUGCUGACAUAAGUAACGAUAAAGCGGGUGAAAAGCCCGCUCGCCGGAAGACCAAGGGUUCCUGUCCAACGUUAAUCGGGGCAGGGUGAGUCGACCCCUAAGGCGAGGCCGAAAGGCGUAGUCGAUGGGAAACAGGUUAAUAUUCCUGUACUUGGUGUUACUGCGAAGGGGGGACGGAGAAGGCUAUGUUGGCCGGGCGACGGUUGUCCCGGUUUAAGCGUGUAGGCUGGUUUUCCAGGCAAAUCCGGAAAAUCAAGGCUGAGGCGUGAUGACGAGGCACUACGGUGCUGAAGCAACAAAUGCCCUGCUUCCAGGAAAAGCCUCUAAGCAUCAGGUAACAUCAAAUCGUACCCCAAACCGACACAGGUGGUCAGGUAGAGAAUACCAAGGCGCUUGAGAGAACUCGGGUGAAGGAACUAGGCAAAAUGGUGCCGUAACUUCGGGAGAAGGCACGCUGAUAUGUAGGUGAAGUCCCUCGCGGAUGGAGCUGAAAUCAGUCGAAGAUACCAGCUGGCUGCAACUGUUUAUUAAAAACACAGCACUGUGCAAACACGAAAGUGGACGUAUACGGUGUGACGCCUGCCCGGUGC